GGAAUAUCACUUUGACUUCAUCUGAAGACUUGCUUACAUCAGGAACAUUGGGAGCAGACGAGGAUCCCAAUGGAGCAGCCAUGACCAGGAUUCUGAAACCUCUCCUCUAAUUUACCAGAAUAAUAAUAAUCAAAUUGCCACCCUUUCACUAGUGGAAACAGACAAGGGUAUCUCUUUCACGAAGCCUUCCUUCUUAAUUCAGCUAAAGAGGCAGUCUCUUUCAUUUCAACCUACUACCUUAAUAUACAAACCUAUAAUAAAUGCAUCAUAAUUUAUAUAUUAUAUACCUAACUUCAAGUAAAUCGUAACUGUAUAUGUUUUUGAAAAGUAAUUUAAUUUGUGGAGUAGACUUAAAUAAAAGAAAAGCUAAACAGUAUAAUCCUAA
rnacentral:lncRNA from 1 species